rnacentral:rRNA from 1 species
UACGGAGGGGGCAAGCGUUGUCCGGAUUUACUGGGUUUAAAGGGUGCGUAGGCGGUCGUGUAAGUCGGGUGUGAAAUCUCCGAGCUUAACUCGGAAACUGCCAUGGGUACUGCAUGUCUUGAAUGUUGUGGAGGUGAGCGGAAUAUGUCAUGUAGCGGUGAAAUGCUUAGAUAUGACAUAGAACACCAAUUGCGAAGGCAGCUCGCUACACAAUGAUUGACGCUGAGGCACGAAAGCGUGGGGAUCAAACAGG